GACGAACGCUGGCGGCGUGCUUAACACAUGCAAGUCGAACGGAAAGGCCCUGCUUUUGUGGGGUGCUCGAGUGGCGAACGGGUGAGUAACACGUGAGUAACCUGCCCUUGACUUUGGGAUAACUUUAGGAAACUGGGGCUAAUACCGGAUAGGAGCUCCUGCUGCAUGGUGGGGGUUGGAAAGUUUCGGCGGUUGGGGAUGGACUCGCGGCUUAUCAGCUUGUUGGUGGGGUAGUGGCUUACCAAGGCUUUGACGGGUAGCCGGCCUGAGAGGGUGACCGGCCACAUUGGGACUGGGAUACGACCCAGACUCCAACGGGGGGCAGCAGUGGGGAAUAUUGCACAAUGGGCGGAAGCCUGAUGCAGCAACGCCGCGUGCGGGAUGACGGCCUUCGGGUUGUAAACCGCUUUCGCCUGUGACGAAGCGUGAGUGACGGUAAUGGGUAAAGAAGCACCGGCUAACUACGU
rnacentral:rRNA from 1 species